rnacentral:rRNA from 1 species
AGUGAACGCUGGCGGUAGGCCUAACACAUGCAAGUCGAACGGCAGCACAGUAAGAGCUUGCUCUUACGGGUGGCGAGUGGCGGACGGGUGAGGAAUACAUCGGAAUCUACUUUUUCGUGGGGGAUAACGUAGGGAAACUUACGCUAAUACCGCAUACGACCUACGGGUGAAAGCAGGGGAUCUUCGGACCUUGCGCGAUUGAAUGAGCCGAUGUCGGAUUAGCUAGUUGGCGGGGUAAAGGCCCACCAAGGCGACGAUCCGUAGCUGGUCUGAGAGGAUGAUAAGCCACGCUGGAACUGAGACACGGUCCAGACUCCUACGGGAGGCAGCAGUGGGGAAUAUUGGACAAUGGGCGCAAGCCUGAUCCAGCCAUACCGCGUGGGUGAAGAAGGCCUUCGGGUUGUAAAGCCCUUUUGUUGGGAAAGAAAAGCAGCAGGUUAAUACCCCGCUGUUCUGACGGUACCCAAAGAAUAAGCACCGGCUAACUUCGUG